CAUAUAACUGACCGACUUGGCUAUAACCGAAGCAUGACAAAACUUAUCUCUAGGAUAAGCAUGUUUUCUCUAUUACAGUGCCACAUUCAAGGAAGGCUGUGGCAGUCCUAGUCCUUGCCUGGUAGUUUUAGAUUACUUUAGGUCAGACACAAAGGCAAAGGGAUUUGACCAGGCAGUGUGAAGACAUCAACCAAGGGACUUCAUGCUGAACAGAAAUAGAGAAAGAGGCCCACUAGUAGCCUUCAAUUUUCUGAAAAGAUUAAUUUCAGAAGACAUAGGAAGUUGAUUGAGACAGAGACAACUCAGAAAUGUGGCGAGUCUACAAUAAAUGUUACCCUCUCUUCUCUGGAUUAUCUUUGUGAAAAGUAUCUGGAUUCAUGCCUCUGGAUGUAUAUAAAACGCCUAUGGAAAAUCAGAUAUCGAAAUGAAAUCGAAAUCGAAAUGAAAAAUCGAAAUGAAAAAGGCACAAAAUGAACUAGUUUCUUUUACUUUGUAACUUUUAAGAAUAUGAAUUGUGUACCAGAAAGUUUUAGAUUUUAGAAAGUUUUAGAUUUUCUGAAAGUCAUAAAAAGGAAAAAGUAACAACAGCAGGAUUAUCAAUGCUUUAAGAUAGUAAAGGGGAGGUUUAGGUAGACUGAGCGUAGAAUGAGCAGGGGAAGAUAGGUAAAG
rnacentral:lncRNA from 1 species